rnacentral:misc_RNA from 1 species
UUCCUUGUUAAAUCGUGUACUGGUGAGAGUAAUUCCAACCUUGCACGUGCUUAUUGGCUUAUUUUAUCGCUGGUGGAAAUCUGUUUUCUGUUGUGAAGAUUGACAUUCUUUUUAUCUCCAUAAUUCGUUGCAUACUUGUAAUCGACUUUUAUGUAUUUUCAUGUUUAAGAUUGUUCAAGCUUGUAACAUUGUUACAACACAGCAGAGGAUAUAGUGCUUGUUAACAGAUUUGAAUGUUUUAAUCUCAAAAUAUCACCACUUUUUUUUUAAUCCUUGUGUUUUCAUGUUAACGGUUUAUCAUCUUGAGGUUUUCGUUUACUGAAUAGUUUAUAACCUGUCAGAAUAUAGUAAAGAGAUUCCUAUUAGAGAAUUUACCAUGACAAAGUUCUGGAAAGGAUUUCGAGAAUUCAAUACGCUAACUGGAGAAAUUACCAAGUGGAAGAUAACCCUACUGUGUUCAUUUUUAAUUUUGUUCUCAUAUGUUGUGCUUCUACCUAUGAUGGUAUGAUAGCAAAUAGAUAUUCUAAUUUCUAACUGGAGAUAUUACCAUGAAUAAAUAGAAAUUUAACUGUAGUGUUCAUUUCUAUCUGUAAAUUCAAGGUUUUUUUUUCGGUUAUUUUAAAUUUAUUGUGGACUUGGUGUCUAUUAGAGCUGAAUGAUGAAAAAGGAUCCAUUAGCCCACCCCAACUAGUUUGGCAUUAUUGCUUAGUUGUUGUUAGAAUAAUAACUUAUGGGCUAUGAAGAAAAGAAAAGGGAAACUCUUCUAAUUGAAGAAAUGGCAAUGUGAAAGCUCUAGAAAAUGGAGUCCGUUGACAGGGACUGUUUUAAGUUGACUGCACCAUAUAAUUAGAUUAAAGAACAUAACAAUUUGGCCACUAUUUACACACACACACAUAUUAGCUUACUCUUUUUUAUUUUUUUUAAAUAAAAUUCUACAGUGGAACAUGAAACAUAAAAUAUGUGCACGUAAUUUCUGGUGGUUUUUAUGAGCUUUGGAUGUGUGUUAGUGGUGUCAUUCUACUGUGGGUUGGAUAAAUGGAAAGCUUUAGUUUCUCUAUUAAAGUGUUGUCUACAUGAAGUUUACAUGUCUAUCCAUAAGUCUUGAGCUUUGCCUUUUUUUUGCAUGGCAACUGAUAAUGAUUUGGAGUAGCCAAAUGUUAAAAUGCUGUCUAGUUUUAAGACCACAAAAAUUGAGUGUGUCAAGUGGCUCUGAGACGAGUGUUUGGUCAAAAUCUUACAUUAUACUUGCAAGUUGUCAAAGUUGAGCUCGGUGAUGCAAUGUGCUAAGUGUCUAGAUGCUUGAGGGACCCACCUCAUUCACUUGAUGCUUAUUUUUUCAAUUUGAUUUCCUGUUACUUUUAGAAUUCAAUUCUUAAUUGUAGACUUGAGAGGCAAAUAUGGCAUAGCAUGAGGUAUCAAUUAUAAAAUGUACCCUUAGCUUCUAUUAGGCCAAAAAGCAUCAGCUUUUACAAAUACAAGUUGAGAAAGGAAGACUGCAGAGGAAGAAGAGUGUGGCGUAAGAUAAGUGUUCUUUCUUUUUUUUUUAUUUAUUUUUCUAUU